CGGGGUUGUGGGGCGUCUCACACGGAGUUACAAAAGACGCGCGUAGGUGAACAGCUUGGGAAAGCUGACCAUAGAGCGUGAUAGUCGCGUAACCUAAACGCGCGUCUCUCCGAGACCAACCCCGAGUAGCGCGGGACACGUGAAAUCCCGUGUGAAUCUGGCAGGACCAUCUGCUAAGGCUAAAUACUACCUAGCGACCGAUAGUGAACCAGUACCGUGAGGGAAAG
rnacentral:rRNA from 1 species